rnacentral:rRNA from 1 species
GGAGUUUGGUCCGUGUCUCAGUACCAAUGUGGGGGACCUUCCUCUCAGAACCCCUACUGAUCGUCGCCUCGGUGGGCCGUUACCCCGCCGACAAGCUAAUCAGACGCAUCCCCAUCCCUUACCGAUGAAUCUUUGCUCCUCGUUAGAUGCCUGCAAAGGAGAACAUAAGGCAUUAAUCCGACUUUCGCCGGGCUAUUCCUUAGUAAGGGGAAGGUUGGAUACGCGUUACUCACCCGUGCGCCGGUCGCCAGCAAAGAUAGCAAGCUAUCUCCCUGCUGCCCCUCGACUUGCAUGUGUUAAGCCUGUAGCUAGCGUUCAUC